GCGGGAGCCCUGCACGAAUGGUGCUCAAACCCCGUCAGCGAUGCACACCAGUUUACAUAAAAAUGGCCAUUUCACUUGGAAUUGACGAAAACUCUGGAAAAAUUGACUAAAACUGUGGAAACUGUCUUAUUUAUAAGUAGGGCUCUUACUACUUUGAGCUUUAGAUGUGGCUACCAAGGGAUGUGCGUCUAUUAAAGCCACGCAGGGCAAACUCAGGCAUUUUAUUAGCUUGGUUUCAAGCCAACGUAAGUCCGACCAGCACCAUUUCCUUGUGGGGGAGACAACAAACUCCUUUUAGUCCCAGCUGUACGGACUUAAAAAGUUUUGUGGACACAUAGCUUAAUGCCCCGAAAAGAAGAUCCGGUGAUGUCCGGCCUGGAAAUAAUGUGAAAUAUUUGUCGUUAUUGUCACCCAGGGACGCGGUUGGUCUUUUCUUCUGGCUCCAAGAGCGACACAAGAUGCCGAUCCCGUCUCCCCAACCUCCGGAGAAAGACCCUGGGAUGGUAUUUCAGACGGUCAACGGCAACGUGAUUUUUGCAUCCGUUUCUCUUCCUGUUUCAACUAAGGUGACCCAAAGCGUUUAAGCAACUCUGAUUUACUGAUUUCUUACCCCAAGUGAAACAAAUGAGCCGCAUGGCUCCGCCGGAAAUGACGAGCCACGCUAAUAACGAAAAUUAUUGCUCGAGAACCGAGUGACAGCAGAGCCCGGCAGACAGACGUGGAGAAAAGCAGGUCCAGAUGGCUGGCAGCUCCGGCAAGCUGCUGCUUGGCUGGACACAGCAAGGUGCUUCCCUUUGGCCGUUCCUGGCCAAAAUCCGGCGGAAAGAUGCCAGGUCUCAGCGUGAAUCCACAACAUGCAGCACCACCGCUUAUGGUAGCGGUUAUUCACCUCCCUUGUAAAACACCUUUUGAAUGCAGUUAUCAGUUUUUCAGCCGCUAAGCCUCACUUUAGCUUUUCUUCCACGAGGUUAUACAGCCCCGUUUAAUGUAGCAUUUUCUCCCUUGGAAGGUACUAGUGCCACGUAAUCAGUUUUCCUCUUGCCCUCGCUCCGAUAAGAUAAGUAACUUUAAAUUUUCCAGGCUCCGGCUGCCAGCUCUUCCCUCCUGCUCGCCGGUCGCUCCGCCAGCUCUUCCCCGCGGCCCCUUGGAGGUGGAAGCCUGUGAGGUUGAUGAACUCCGAGAAGCGAGAUUACACGGAGUGAAGAAAAGCCAGGAGCAAGCGAAGGAAAGGAACGGAGGAAAAUACAAGCCAAGUAUGAGGGCACCGCGCGAGGCGGGAAGGGGAAGUGUCUUUCGGCCUGGUGUCUCUGGGGAAGAGACCCCUCGCUCCCGGGAGCUGGGCAAAGCACCGGUGCAGAUGGCAAACGAGCUGCUCAUCUCCGCAGGAACCACAAACCUGAGGGACGCCGAAAAGCGGGAGAUACCGUCUUUACUUCACUCAGAGCAGGGAUGGCAGCAGCAGCUGUGAAACAUCCUUUUCCUAGGGGGUACAACUCAGAACGCUACAAAUCCGAGAAAUAAAGGGGGGGGGGGAACAAAACCA
rnacentral:lncRNA from 1 species